rnacentral:tRNA from 1 species
GCCGGGAUGGCGGAACUGGUAGACGCGCCGGACUCAAAAUCCGGUGGGGUAACACCCGUGUCGGUUCGACUCCGACUCUCGGCACCA